rnacentral:rRNA from 1 species
UCGAGAAUCAUUCGCAAUGGGCGAAAGCCUGACGAUGCGACGCCGUGUGAGCGAAGAAGGCCUUAGGGUCGUAAAGCUCUUUCGCUUGGGAACAAGAAAAGGUGGCUAAUACCCACUGGAUUUGAGCGUACCAGGUAAAGAAGCACCGGCUAACUCCGUGCCAGCAGCUGCGGUAAUACGGAGGGUGCAAGCAUUAAUCGGAUUUAUUGGGCGUAAAGGGCGCGUAGGCGGAGAUAAAAGUCAGAUGUGAAAUCCCGGGGCUCAACCUCGGAACUGCAUUUGAAACUUUAUCCCUUGAGGGUAGGCGGAGAAAACGGAAUUCCACAAGUAGCGGUGAAAUGCGUAGAUAUGUGGAAGAACACCGGUGGCGAAGGCGGUUUUCUAGCUUAUUCCUGACGCUGAGGCGCGAAAGCAAGGGGAUCAAACA